GACGUAGGGCGCGAGCGUUGUCCGGAUUUAUUGGGCGUAAAGAGCUCGUAGGCGGCUUGUCGCGUCGUCUGUGAAAUCCCGCGGCUCAACUGCGGGCUGGCAGUCGAUACGGGCAGGCUGGAGUUCGGUAGGGGAGACUGGAAUUCCUGGUGUAGCGGUGAAAUGCGCAGAUAUCAGGAGGAACACCGGUGGCGAAGGCGGGUCUCUGGACAGUUCCUGACGCUGAGGCACGAAGGCCAGGGGAGCAAACGGG
rnacentral:rRNA from 1 species